GCUAGCUUAGUAUAAGUAUAAUACAUAAGACUGUAAAUCUUUGAAUAAUUUUAAUUAGCUAGAA
rnacentral:tRNA from 1 species